CCUACGGGUGGCAGCAGUGGGGAAUAUUGGACAAUGGGCGAAAGCCUGAUCCAGCCAUGCCGCGUGUGUGAAGAAGGCCUUCGGGUUGUAAAGCACUUUCAGUGGGGAAGAAAGCCUUGGGGCUAAUACCCUCGAGGAAGGACAUCACCCACAGAAUAAGCACCGGCUAACUCCGUGCCAGCAGCCGCGGUAAUACGGAGGGUGCGAGCGUUAAUCGGAAUUACUGGGCGUAAAGCGCGCGUAGGCGGUCUGAUAAGCCGGUUGUGAAAGCCCCGGGCUCAACCUGGGAACGGCAUCCGGAACUGUCAGGCUAGAGUGCAGGAGAGGAAGGUAGAAUUCCCGGUGUAGCGGUGAAAUGCGUAGAGAUCGGGAGGAAUACCAGUGGCGAAGGCGGCCUUCUGGACUGACACUGACGCUGAGGUGCGAAAGCGUGGGUAGCAAACAGGAUUAGAUACCCGAGUAGUC
rnacentral:rRNA from 1 species